rnacentral:rRNA from 1 species
CGAAAGCCUGACGGAGCAGCGCCGCGUGAGGGAUGGAGGCCUUUGGGCUGUAAACCUCUUUUCUCAAGGAAGAAGAUCUGACGGUACUUGAGGAAUAAGCCACGGCUAAUUCCGUGCCAGCAGCCGCGGUAAUACGGGAGUGGCAAGCGUUAUCCGGAAUUAUUGGGCGUAAAGCGUCCGCAGGCGGCCGUUUAAGUCUGUUGUUAAAUCGUGGAGCUCAACUCCAUCACGGCAAUGGAAACUGUUCGGCUUGAGUAUGGUAGGGGCAGAGGGAAUUUCCGGUGUAGCGGUGAAAUGCGUAGAUAUCGGGAAGAACACCAGUGGCGAAAGCGCUCUGCUGGGCCAUUACUGACGCUCAUGGACGAAAGCCAGGGGAGCGAAAGGGAAUAGAUACUCCUGUAGUCCUGGCCGUAAACGAUGAACACUAGAUGUUGGGGGAAUCGACCCCCUCGGUGUCGUAGCUAACGCGUUAAGUGUUCCGCCUGGGGAGUACGCACGCAAGUGUGAAACUCAAAGGAAUUGACGGGGGCCCGCACAAGCGGUGGAGUAUGUGGUUUAAUUCGAUGCAACGCGAAGAACCUUACCAAGGCUUGACAUCCUGCGAAUCUCUAAGAAAUUAGAGAGUGCCUUCGGGAACGCAGUGACAGGUGGUGCAUGGCUGUCGUCAGCUCGUGUCGUGAGAUGUUGGGUUAAGUCCCGCAACGAGCGCAACCCACGUUUUUAGUUGCCAGCAUUCAGUUGGGCACUCUAGAAAGACUGCCGGUGACAAACCGGAGGAAGGUGUGGACGACGUCAAGUCAUCAUGCCCCUUACGCCUUUGGGCUACACACGUACUACAAUGCUGCGGACAAAGAGUAGCGAUCUUGCGAAAGUUAGCUAAUCUCAUAAACCGUGGCUCAGUUCAGAUCGUAGGCUGCAACUCGCCUACGUGAAGGAGGAAUCGCUAGUAAUCGCAGGUCAGCAUACUGCGGUGAAUACGUUCCCGGGCCUUGUACACACCGCCCGUCACACCAUGGAAGUUGGCCAUGCCCGAAGUCGUUACUCUAACCUUUUGGAAGAGGGCGCCGAAGGCAGGGCUAAUGACUGGGGUGAAGUCGUAACAAGGUAGCCGUAGCGGAAGCUGCGGCUGGAUCACCUCCUAA